AUUGUUAGCCAUCCCAUUAUCUCAUUAUGAAGACACCAUAACUCUGCCAUUUCCAAACACUCACUAAUGACCCUUCCUAGGACUUUCCACCGGGAACCCUCUGGGAAGAGCAGGCAACACGAUCCCUCGGCCUGCCAGGUGGUGAGUGGUGUGUGCACAGCUCUCUGCCCUGCUUCAAGAAGAGCUGACUGCAGGUGUAGACAUAGGCGGAGCCUGGGGCCUCGGAGGGCCUCAUCCACCCACAGAGCCCACGCCCUUCCUUUCUCCAUCCUACUGUGGUACAAACACCACCAUCCAGGAGUGUGUUUCUCUGGAUAGUUCUAUUGGUUCUAUUGACGCGGCAACAAUUGGGAGAGGUCCCUGUGAAGGAACCAUGCGAAGGAAAGGUGACAGUCCACGCCCUGCCCAGUUCCUGCCGUCCUGACACCCCCACCGUGGGCGCCAGAGCCCAGUGCUGCGUGCACAGGUCUUCUCCAACAGAACCGGGCUUUUCAGCGGGAGCAGCUCGUACAGAGGCGGUAAACAUUCCCGGGUGUCACAGACAUGACACCUAGACAUUUCAUUUCUGCCUUAAAAACCCCCCAUUUAUAAGUCUCAGGGUUGUGUUUUCGUCUUAUUUCACGUUGGGUGAAGGCUAGGUGUUCCCUUUCUUGGUAACUCUCUAAAAGGUGCAGCAGGUGUAUCCUGGAAAGGGAGGGCAGGAAUUGUUGUUCUUCGUCACAGGAGGGAAACAGUUAAUUUCAGCCCCAUGACAGUUUUCCAGCGAACAAUGGUCUCAGCGCUGACACGGGGCAGUGAUGAGCGGGUGCGGAAGAACUGAGUCACCGCUGCGCAGGGCAAUCACGGAGAACAUCGACUCUCUCCCAGCCAAAAUUCUAUUAAUACGAGUGUCAGCCCGAGAGUGGAUCUCAGUGUGCGCGUCGGAACGGUGCAGCAGAGAAAAUGAGGCCUCUCCUCGGGGACAGACUUCUCUUUUUCUCCGCGAGAGUCUUCAUUAUUCAGGCAUUGUGAUACUUCUCCUUUAUUUGUGUAAAGAUUAAAUUGCACAUGAUUUCUAAUGUUUCCGCUACUCCAACUGUCAUAGGUCGAUGACCUUCAUGCAAGCCAGAUAAUAGAUACAUCGUCUACGGCGUAGGGACCGCUGUCCUUACACAGCUCACUACUUCCC
rnacentral:lncRNA from 1 species